rnacentral:tRNA from 1 species
GGGUCGUUAGCUCAGUUGGCAGAGCAGUUGGCUUUUAACCAAUUGGUCGUAGGUUCGAAUCCCACACGACCCAC